rnacentral:rRNA from 1 species
AUGGCGGUGGUGGCGGCGGACCUGGCGCUCGGUCUCCCCCGGCGGCAGGGUCGGCCGAUGGUGGGUGGCUACUCUGGUGAGGAGUGGAGCACCUUGAGAAAGCGGGGGAGGGAGAUCGUCCAUCGAGCUCGAGAUCCGGAGGGGGCCAUGGAUGGGAAGGUCGCCGCGGUGACGGCGGCGGAGAUGCCGGCGUCCGAUUCCACCAUGAAAGCUGUCGAUCUGGGAAAGAUGGCGUCCAACAAGGAUUUGCUCGUCACCAUCGAGGAAGCUGGCCGGGAGGAUCCUGCUCGGUCCUUAGCUGAUGAGCUCGACACUGCGGCGGCAACAAUGGCUACCCCUCUGCCUCAAACGGGGAUCGCUUCUGUUGGUGGUCCGACUGGUCUGAUGCUGACCAUCUCCCCCAGGCCCUCCAUCGGCUUCGCGGCUGCCUCGACAGCUCCUCCUGCUCCUCGUCGACAAGGCAAGCAUGUGGCCAUGUUGGCGGACGAGGAGUACGAGACGAUUAUCAUCGACAUGAAGGCGGCCAAGCAGGCGGUGAAGGGCAAGCUCAUCGUGGCACGGGUGCUUUCAUCGUACCGGGUGGACCACAACGCCGUCGUCAACGGCCUGCGUGGGGCGUGGCGGCUCCAAGGAAGUGCCGUCCCUCAGCAGGUCACAAGCACCGACGACCGUUUCAUCAUCAAGUUCUCCAAGGAGGGGGACCGGCAGCGCGUUCUUCGUGCCGGGCCUUGGCAUUAUCGGAACGACGCGCUGCUCAUCAAGGACUUCGACGGUGUGGGUGACCCUGUGGACGUGCGCCUAGAUUCUUUCAAUAUCUGGGUGCAAAUCCAUGGGCUCCAUGUCAUCCUUAAGACUGAAGACAUGGGGUGGAAGCUUGGGAAAAAGCUCGGCACCGUUCUCGCCGUGUCGAACCGCAACAAUCUGAUCGUUGAAGAGCAUCUCCGGGUUCGUGUUCAGCAUCUCGUGGAGAAGCCAUUGAGGAAGAACGUUGACAUCACCCCAAAAGGUAGCAACAAACCAAUUCUCUUUGAGGUCAAAUAUGAGAAGCUGCCAAACUUCUGUUUUUGCUGUGGAUUGGUGGGACACACAACGGAGAAGUUCUGUAGAAUGCCAAAGGAGUUGCGGAAGGCGGCCUACUCCGCCGACAUAAGGGUGCCGCCGUAUUGGGCCUCUCUCUGGAGACACAUUGAUUUCGGGGAGAUGCCGGUGCCGGAUGGUGUGAUCGCGGAGGUGGCCUCAACUGUUAAAAAACUAUUUGUUUCUACUGUUGCUACGACUACGGCGUCGGCUUUGGCAGACGAGGACAAGGCUGGAGCUCUCCUCAUCACCAACCUAGGAGCUCCGGCUGGUCCAGUACAAGAGCUCAUGGAAAAGGUGCCUGGGAAGCACCUCCACACCGACUUGGGUGCUCCUAGGACACCUGUUGGACACUUGGGGACCCGGGAUGCUGUUGUUGUGCAUCUGCAGAACCAGCCCCUGGUGCAACUUGCUGUAGAUGGCCAAGUGCAGGAGCAAGAUCAAGCUCCCCUGAUGUGUGUUGCUUCGGGGAGUGUUCAGCAGCAGAACCUGGAUGGGAAGGCCAGCGACCUGGUGACUGCUUCUGCGCAAGAUGUCAGCGAGGGUGCUGCUGAUGCAGGAGUCCAGCGCUGGAAUAGGCUUCAUCGGCAAGAACGCAUAGAUGGGUCUACUAUUCAUGUAAGUGAAGAAGUAGAUGGGGAAGUGGAGGAGGUUCAGGACAAAAGGAUAGUGUCUGUAGGGGAUGGAAAAGAUAUAGGAGGCGAGUCAAAGGUAUGUUAUGUGACCGACCUCGCGCAUGCGACCAUCGCCGCCUAUGCCGCUGAGGGCCGCAGGCCGCCGCUCACCGCUGAAGACGGCGCCACCGACGUGGCCGCGCGGUUCGAGCUGCACCUCUCCAAGUACGUCCUCGAUGCUCUGGACCCGGAGAGCAAGGUGCUGGACAUGGGCUCUCGGAACUUCUUCCUCUGCUCCAACAGGGCGACGCAGAGAUCAGAUCAUCGUCUGCUGCUUCACUCAGCACUGGCAUGUCUUGAUGUCUGA